UACGGGGGGGGCAAGCGUUGUUCGGAAUUACUGGGCGUAAAGGGCUCGUAGGCGGCCAACUAAGUCAGACGUGAAAUCCCUCGGCUUAACCGGGGAACUGCGUCUGAUACUGGAUGGCUUGAGGUUGGGAGAGGGAUGCGGAAUUCCAGGUGUAGCGGUGAAAUGCGUAGAUAUCUGGAGGAACACCGGUGGCGAAGGCGGCAUCCUGGACCAAUUCUGACGCUGAUGAGCGAAAGCCAGGGGAGCAAACGGG
rnacentral:rRNA from 1 species